AGCGAACGCUGGCGGCAGGCUUAACACAUGCAAGUCGAGCGGGCGUAGCAAUACGUCAGCGGCAGACGGGUGAGUAACGCGUGGGAACGUACCUUUUGGUUCGGAACAACACAGGGAAACUCGUGUUAAUACCGGAUAAGCCCUUACGGGGAAAGAUUUAUCGCCGAAAGAUCGGCCCGCGUCUGAUUAGCUAGUUGGUAGGGUAAUGGCCUACCAAGGCGACGAACAGUAGAUGGUCUGAGAGGAUGAACAGCCACAUUGGGACUGAGACACGGCCCAAACUCCUACGGGAGGCAGCAGUGGGGAAUAUUGGACAAUGGGGGCAACCCUGAUCCAGCCAUGCCGCGUGAGUGAUGAAGGCCCUAGGGUUGUAAAGCUCUUUUGUGCGGGAAGAUAAUGACGGUACCGCAAGAAUAAGCCCCGGCUAACUUCGUGCCAGCCGCCGCAGUAA
rnacentral:rRNA from 1 species